AUCACAUGAUCCCAGCAGGUGCACUAUUUUAGGUUGCACAGCGCCAUGACGUGAAUGAGGCCGGAUGAAGCGCAUAGUGAUUGCGUGAAACCGCCGGCAGUCGCCUUCUCUGAGCGCUCCACUUCUGAUAUGCCCGAUCGUGGAUUGUAGGCACCGUUUGAGUGAGGCCGGAAUUGCGGUACCCUUGCGGAUGGUUGAGGAUUGGGUAGAGACAAACAGGAUGUGGCUUUAAGUUCGAGGCCUGGGCAGAUGCUGCAGCUAUUGUUUCUCAACCUGUGUGACUCCAGCUGUUGCAAAACGACAACUCCCAGCAUGUCUGUACAGCCAGAGACGAGGAUUUAACAUAUCAUAAGUGCGAAGAGAUGAGAAAUACAAUAAAAUAUUCCUGGAAGAAUGGAAGGAGAUUGUGUGGCCGCCUGCUCUCCCCUCCAGGCUCUCAGCAUGUGACACUGGGGUUGUACUUAGAGAAGGAGAACAGAGAUAAGAACUCGUAAAUAGAGGAGGACAGAGGUAAGAACUCGUAAAUAGAGGAGGACAGAGAUAAGAACUAGUAAAUAGAGGAGGACAGAGGAAGAACACAAGACCUGACCGUGACUGCUGGAAUAAUUAUGUGAAGAUCGGAGGAGAAAAAAGUGAUGUCAGAAGUGGGAUUUGAACCCACGCCUCCAUUCGGAGACCAGAACACCCAUGUGUUGGGAAGAGCUUCCUCUUGAGUCUGGCGCCUUAGACCACUCGGCCAUCCUGACAAGCUAUAUGUGCUGGAGCUGUAUGGUUUGAUGAAUAUAGGUUGUGCAGACAGGGCUGGAACGUGCCAUAUUAUACUUAUGAAUAUGAUAUGUCAGAAAGGAAACAGCAAGAAGACGGGCCUGCAUGUCACUAGGGUAAUUGUCGAGAGUAUCAGGUUUAGGAGCAUUCAUGUUCAUUAGGCCAUGUAGUGGCUUCUGUUUAUAAUUGACUCCAAUAUCCCAUACCAAAUAUAGCGUAUGACGGACACCACCAGCAUUUGGUUGAACUUGUUGACUUAUUACUUA